rnacentral:rRNA from 1 species
UACGUAGGUGGCAAGCGUUGUCCGGAUUUACUGGGCGUAAAGAGCGCGCAGGCGGUCGUUCAAGUCGCGUGUGAAAGCCCCCGGCUCAACUGGGGAGGGUCACGCGAUACUGAUCGACUCGAAGGCAGGAGAGGGAAGUGGAAUUCCCGGUGUAGUGGUGAAAUGCGUAGAUAUCGGGAGGAACACCAGUGGCGAAGGCGACUUCCUGGACCGGUUCUGACACUGAGGAGCGAAAGCGUGGGGAGCGAUCCGG